CAACAGUGUGCCGUGAUCACGUUCAGCUUGCCACCACCGAUAAACGCCCUAGACCACCAUCGUGUUCCUCUCGUCGAGACGAAGCCGUAGACACCAACCACGCCUCAAUCGGAGCCCGGACGAAGCCUCACGCGCCUCCGGAAGUUUCGCCUCUGCGCGCGCGUGAAGUACACGCGUCGCCGCCGGCAAACGUCGCCACCGCCGGACCACCGUCCCCCGCCGCCGGAUUACCGCCGUCGUCGCCGACAACCGCCGCCGGAAUACCGCCGUCGCCGCCGGUGACCGACACCGGUGACUCGCCGGCGACUCGGUCAACUCGGCCGAGUCAACUCAGUGAGUCAACCGAGUUGACUCGGUUAACCGAUUGGUUAGCCGGUUUAAAUUGAUUUCGGUUCGGUUAGGGUAAACCGGUCGGUUUAGUCAAAUCGAUUUCUGGUCAAAGCUUGACCGGGUUGACUUUGACCGGCGGGUUGACUUUUCCGAAAACCUUGACCAGUUCCGUUUUCGACCGUUCGAAAGGCGUUCUGACUCAGAAUUUCGAUCUGAUUUCAGAUAUGGAGUCUAUUUGAGCAGCUGGAGUUCAUAGACAACACUUUUCUAUUGCUAAGGUGAGACAAACAAGUAUGUGAUAUUUGGACGGACUUGGUGCUAUUGGACUUUUCUUUCGGAUUUUAUUUGGGCAUGGGUGAGAGUUGUCGGGUUUAUGGGCUUUUAUAUUACGGGAUAUUGUUGGUGGCCCGUCGUCCUUAGUGUCAGGGAGACGGGUGUCACAUUGUUGUAUGAUGACGCAUCGGGGGUGACACGCUGUCCUCCAUAUAGGAGGUGUAGGGUGUCACAAUUUGGUAUCAGAGCGGGUUCCAUCCCGGUUCCGUCCGGGAUGGCGGUCAGGGGAUUCGGUUUUCAUCGGUUUUCAACUUAAAA